CCAUGGCAAAUGGCUAAUUUAAACUGAUCUGAAAAGCCAUUUAAAUGAAGCACUUCCUGAGAAGCUUGGCUAAUAUGUUUUCGGUAUGCUUCGUGCUUGAUUAUUCCCCAGAUCUUCGUGGGGUUACGUUACAUUUAUUAAUAGCUUUCUCUGCAAAUCUAGCGCCAAUAGUCUGUAGUCUUGGGAGGAUAGGUCUGCAACUGAAAAAUGAGACGAUCAAAUUAGUGUUUAACAGUGAUGCGGUUUUAAGGGCUUAUUGCACUUACGGGAAUUUGUAGCAAAGAUUCAUGGGACCAGUUAUUGGGUGCAAUCAGCAGCCAUCAGAAGCAGAAAGAACAGGCACAAUUUAACCAUGGCAAGGGCCACUGUAAACUGAUCUGAAAGACCAUAUGAAUCAAUAACUUUUUGAGAUGCUUGGCUAAUAUGAUAUCGGGAUGCUUCAUGCUUGACUCUUGUUCCAGUUGCCCCACAGCUAACAGGGAAACUGUGUCAGGUAUUUUAUAGGUACUUAUAUAGCUACGCUAAUAUGUAUAUUAAUUUUUAUCGAUUUUAUUUUCAUUUAUUUAUUUAUUUAUCAUCCAAUAAAUAAUUGUAUCCGUUUCGUGGCGACUAAAGAGAGACGAAAUAAAUAGUUUACGAUACCAUG